rnacentral:rRNA from 1 species
CCUACGGGAGGCAGCAGUGGGGAAUAUUGGGCAAUGGGCGCAAGCCUGACCCAGCAACGCCGCGUGAAGGAAGAAGGCUCUCGGGUUGUAAACUUCUUUUAUCAGGGACGCAGCAAGUGACGGUACCUGAUGAAUAAGCCACGGCUAACGACGUGCCAGCAGCCGACGGAAUACGGAGGGGGCAAGCGUUAUCCGGAUUUACUGGGUGUAAAGGGCGUGUAGGCGGGAAAGCAAGUCCGAUGUGAAAACGAUGGGCUCAAACUGUGGCCUGCAGUUGAAACUGGUGAUCUUGAGUAGGGGAGAGGUAUGCGGAAUUCCUGGUGUAGCGGUGAAAUGCGUAGAUAUUAGGAAGAACACC